CGUAGGCAGCGAGCGUUGUUCGGAGUUACUGGGCGUAAAGCGUGCGUAGGCGGUGCCAUAAGUCUGUUGUGAAAUCUCCCGGCUCAACUGGGAGGGUGCGGUGGAAACUGUGGUGCUGGAGUGUGGGAGAGGUAGGCGGAAUUCCUGGUGUAGCGGUGAAAUGCGUAGAUAUCAGGAGGAACACCUGCGGUGCAGACGGCUUACUGGACCACGACUGACGCUGAGGCACGAAAGCGUGGGGAGCAAACAGGAUUAGAUACCCUGGUAGUCCACGCCCUAAACGAUGCAUACUUGGUGUGGGCAAUUCAUUUUGCCGUGCCGGAGCUAACGCGUUAAGUAUGCCGCCUGGGGAUACGGUCGCAAGGCUG
rnacentral:rRNA from 1 species